AGUGAACGCUGGCGGUAGGCCUAACACAUGCAAGUCGAACGGCAGCACAGUAAGAGCUUGCUCUUACGGGUGGCGAGUGGCGGACGGGUGAGGAAUACAUCGGAAUCUACUUUUUCGUGGGGGAUAACGUAGGGAAACUUACGCUAAUACCGCAUACGACCUACGGGUGAAAGCAGGGGAUCUUCUGACCUUGCGCGAUUGAAUGAGCCGAUGUCGGAUUAGCUAGUUGGCGGGGUAAAGGCCCACCAAGGCGACGAUCCGUAGCUGGUCUGAGAGGAUGAUCAGCCACACUGGAACUGAGACACGGUCCAGACUCCUACGGGAGGCAGCAGUGGGGAAUAUUGGACAAUGGGCGCAAGCCUGAUCCAGCCAUACCGCGUGGGUGAAGAAGGCCUUCGGGUUGUAAAGCCCUUUUGCUGGGAAAGAAAAGCAGCAGGUUAAUACCCCGCUGUUCUGACGGUACCCAAAGAAUAAGCACCGGCUAACUUCGUG
rnacentral:rRNA from 1 species